rnacentral:rRNA from 1 species
GAUGAACGCUAGCUACAGGCUUAACACAUGCAAGUCGAGGGGAAACGGCAUCGAAAGCUUGCUUUUGAUGGGCGUCGACCGGCGCACGGGUGAGUAACGCGUAUCCAACCUGCCCAUCACUUGGGAAUAACCUUGCGAAAGUAAGACUAAUGCCCAAUGACAUCCCACGAAGGCAUCCGAAUGGGAUUAAAGAUUUAUCGGUGAUGGAUGGGGAUGCGUCUGAUUAGCUUGUUGGCGGGGUGACGGCCCACCAAGGCAACGAUCAGUAGGGGUUCUGAGAGGAAGGUCCCCCACAUUGGAACUGAGACACGGUCCAAACUCCUACGGGAGGCAGCAGUGACGAAUAUUGGUCAAUGGGCGAGAGCCUGAACCAGCCAAGUAGCGUGCAGGAUGACGGCCCUAUGGGUUGUAAACUGCUUUUAUAAGGGAAUAAAGUGGGUCACGUGUGACUUUUUGCAUGUACCUUAUGAAUAAGGACCGGCUAAUUCCGUG